UGUUUCAACUAAGCAUAGGUGUAAAGAGACAACCUAGGAUGAAAGCGUACUUUUACGAUAUUGUUUUCUUUGUUUCACUCCUGUAUUAGAUACCGUCAUUGUGAUAAUCCAAAACCAUCCAACGGAGGAAAGGACUGUAAUGGAUCCUAGUUUGAAAUUUAAAAAAUGUUUUGUAGUCAUACCAUUUGAUGCCAAGUGUACAAUAAAAAACUGAAAUGAAAAUUGACAACAGAAGUGUCAUGGUCUUGGUGGAAAAUGCUGUGUUCUUCAUUGACCUCUGGUUUAAUAAUGGCUGGUGAUAGAAAACUAUCAGGAAUGCUUCAAGCUGGCAAUGGAGGGAAAUGUAAAAGUAGGACACUGAGAAAUCACAAGGUUUCAAACAUCUAGAAUAUGCUCAGUCAUUCUUUUGAAUUUAUAACGGAGAUAAUGAUACUCACCUUAAUGGUUCCAGUGUGUUUUAGGAGAUACCAGACCUAGCAGAUAACUACAUAAAUAUUGACACAGAACAUGAAAUUCAUUGCAUAUCCAAACACAACAUAAGACUUUAAACUGUUAAAUAGGCAGUGAAGCAUUUGUGUGUAACCUUCAUUAUUUGAAAUGAAAUUUCUUAUAU